CGUGAUAUAAGCUCCUCGAAGGGUCGAAUGUAAUUGAUUUUGCCGCACAAUAUCACCCCUAGCAUAUUCAAUUUUUGGGUCCUGAUGGAGCUAUUUAGGUCUCAAGUUUUCAACUUUUUGUGAUUUUAGGUAAUUAUUUCUAAUACCCAUUUCAUAAUUUUCUUUAAUCUCUCUCCUCCUUCACAGUUAAACUGGGAAAAACCACAUUAGAUACUUAUUCCCUCCCACUAACAGGAACAUCAUCCGUAUGUGUGUUCACAGCUGGAGCAGCUUUUUUUAGUAAAUUUUCCUGAAUACAGUCUGGUAAGCCCAUAUGUUUGUAUUUAAGACUGAUUCUAUUUUGUUGUUUUAUCAAUUUUUUUUCAUGGUUGAGUGAUCUUCUUUAUGCCCCUUAUUUUCUGUUUAUGUUAUGCAUGAAGGAAUUCAAAUUAAAGCAAGGAAUAUGUCCAAUUGUGUAGUUUGCUUGAAAUUAUGGUAUGUGUCAAUUGUUGGUCGUUUUACCUAUCAAUAUAUGCGUGCAAGUAUACACGGUCAAUAAGUAAUAAAGAGUAAGUAAAGUAUCGUUCUCACGGAGAAUUAACUAAUAAAGUUCUCCAAGCACUAGCCCAUAACCAUUUCAGUCUUAUUUAAACAAAUGAUUUGAUAUUUUAUAUUUAAAUUGUGAAAUUAAAUAAACCUAACUAUUCCUAGAGUGAGACUAGAUAAUGAAGACCUGAGAUCACAAUUUCAUCUAUCGACUCAUUCAAAUCCACACACUUCAUGUUAAGCCAAACUAAUUGUACCGGAUUGUUAGUCGAGAACACGAAAGUAAAGUAUAGCCAUCUUUCAAUAUACCAUACCCAUAUCAUAUAUAAUUCACAGUUGAUAGAAUACACAUGAACACCCACAUUACCUAAACCACUAUAUGUCUAUGUGAUUUACAAAUAAAUAGGGUUUAAGCCCAAGUUCUCAAUUGACUACGAGUGGUGCUUCGGUAUAUGUCUAUCCUAAGCACGAAUCAUACAUCCCAAUACAUUAUAGAACAUAUAAUCACACGCUAAUAAGAUCAAAUCUAAACCCAUACUUCUUCUCUCAAGUCCAUAUGGAUUAUCACAGUAAUUGAUGGCCAAUCAACUAAGCAAUUAGCAUGAAUCUAAAUAGACAAUCCCAUAGCAAUCAAUAAGGCUAACAAUGAAAUAUAUCAGAAAUAACUAAUCCAUAGAAUCCAUUGCAAUCUCAGAAUAGAGUUUAAAUCAUAUCUGAAUCAAAUCUAUCAUCCACAUAUUGAAUAAACAUCAUAAGAUACAAUUAGGAAUCAAAGUGAGAAUAAGAGUAGAGAAUUGAAGUGCAAAUCUGUUCUCCUGAUCUAAGAUUGAAUUUUUAAUGCUUUCCAAUUGCUUCAAGUCUUCAAUCUAAUCAAAUCUAGAAAGUAACUACACUAAUCUUCUCUAUUCUAUUAUUGAAAUUAAAGAGAGAAAGCAACAAUAGCUAAUUGUUCCCCCAAGGGGUGGUAUAUCCUUUACAUAAUGAAAAUAACCCCCUCUAAGUUACGCUUCAAUUGCAUUGUUUAGUGAAAAAGUCAGCUCUAGUCAACUUCCAAAGUGGCGUGGCCGCGCUGGGAAUGGCCUAGAGUUAGGCGCACCCGCGCUCAAGUAUCAAAUCGCAUUUUUUGGUCCAAUGAAUGGCGCGGCCGCGCAGGAAAUAGCCUAGAAAUCCGCGCGCCCGCGCUGUUAAUUUUCUGCUGCAGUGUCCUCUGGUAAAAUGGCCAUAACUUUUGAUCCGAGAGGAGUUACGGGGCCUGCCACCUAUCAAAUCGAAGCCCUCGACGAGCUCUACAACUUUCAUUCUUUGAUAAUUGAGAAAUAAUGGACGGAUGAAGGCUUAAAUUGGGUUGGAAGUGACAGAUAUGCAAAUGGCCACCCAAAACAGUGACGUUCAACGUUUGUUGGUACAAAGGUCAUAAAUCUUGCAUCCGAACUCCGAUUGGAAUGAUUCAAGAUGUUCCGGAAAGCUAAGAAGAAACUCUACAAAUAAUCCAAGUUCCAAGCCAAGAACACGAAAUGAACAUGAAAGCCCAAACGAUCCCCGGAUUGCUUUUCCUUGCGUUUUCAUACCAAUAGUCGCUCACAUCGUUCCCAAGCAUAAGAUCUACAAAAUGAACACAAAAUGCAUGAAAAGUAACUAAGAAACAUGAGUAUAAGCAACUAAUUCAAGUAACAGAUACCGGAUAAAUAGGUAUAAAACCUACUUAUCAUCAAUCCUUUGACAAUAAGGCUAUAUGCUUAUGAUGAUUAGAAUUAUAAGAUUUAGGAUAUAGACUGGUGAUGUUUGUGAAGAAGAUGAUAAAUGAGCCGAUUUAGGGGGCACUAAUAUAUUUCAAUACCUCUCUCUUAGCAUAGAACUAUGGUUAAGAACUCAUUGAAUCGUCCUCUAGGAUUAGUUUAAGUGAUAACUAUGAUUCUAUGAAGGUUCCUUUAUAAACGGAGAAUAGUUAGGAUGCCUUGGUGAGGAAUAAUUUUUGUUUGUGUAAUUGCAGCUUAGAGGAUAAUAAUGAUCUUCCUUAACAGAUGUGGUUGGGGAUGCAUUUGUGUAGCGGUCUCAAAUUUAUUCGAGAAUCAGUGGGUGAUAUGAGUUUUCCUUGUUUUGCUAAUUUGUGUGUAAAAUAAUAACAUACAACACAAUCCCAUUUGUGGAUAAACAAAUUCGAUAAAAAUUUGUUACCGUUUAAAUAGAGGUCGUAAAAAAGUUCUAGGCUAAAGUCAUACGGGCCUUUGAGAGUUGGUAUAGAGCUUGCUGGAGGAGAUUUGGGAUAGAGAAGGGAGGUGGGGAUGCAGAGCUCUACUCUGUCUCUUCUCUAGUAUGUAGGUUGGGUUUUUGAGUUUUUUUAUUACAAAUCUAUACUGGACCAAAUUUUUCUCAUGAAGGAAGGUUCAUGGUAUCAUUCAUGGAUAUACAUGAAAGACCUUUCCUUCAGAAUAAUCAUCCUUAUGGCUUUUAUGAACAAAAUGUACUGAUGAGUAAUGACUAUUCUAAAAGUCAUUCAAUCUACCCCCAUUCCCCUGAUGCGUCUUUGUAAAAAUGGUUUCUUUUAGUGGGUUAUUUAUUUAGUCUCCUUUUGGUACCCAUAAAAUUCUAAGGAUGUAAGUGGGUCGUUUACCUUGCUCAAACUUGGGUUCAAUUUCUACCAACCACAGAUGGCUGGUGGCAACUGUAUGUCUUACACGCCAUUGCGUCGUGCCUCUAUUUUUGAACAAGGAGAUUGGUCAAGGUUCUUCGAACUCAACAUAGGUGCGGUGGGAGUAAAUUUAGAUGUGUGCAGUAGUUGUAGGCGCAAUGUGCCAUGCCGGGAGUUUGGGAUACCUUACGGACCUUUCAUUUUUGGUCCUUAAAAAAGAUAAAAAAAAUCUAAGGAUGUACUGUUGGUGUUUGUUACAUGUUUAAUAUUCAUGUGAAGUGUAAGAGAAAUUUUUAAUGAUUAGGUAUGAGGAAUAAAUUAUAUGAAUGAUUUCUGGAAUUUAAAAUAAUCUUAGUUAGAAUUCCAGUUAUAAAAUGUUGGCCAAAUUGAGUAAACAUCCACCAUCCAUGUGAUCACUCUUUCUCAUGCUUUUGAUUCAUUAAUGAACUUAACAACCUUGUUUAUUUUAUUUGCAGAGGAAUAACCUCAAGGUUGCUAGUUUUAAUCUCCAUUCUUGGCACCAAAAUUACCUAUAAUAUAUAUAUAUAUAUAUAUAUAUAUAUAUAAUUCCAAUUUUGCAUCAUAAAUGAAAUAAGCAGACUAGUAUGAGUAGUUAAAGCAAGUGAAUAAUUUGAAUUUCGAGUUAUUGCACGGAAUAACACGUAUAUAUUGAGCUCGUAGUGGUACCUAGCAAUUCAAAAGUCUCUCUACGGCUAAAGAAUGAUCGUGUUCUUGGGCCAUUGUAGAAACAUAGAUAGGGUCAACGACGGAACAAACAACGAACUUUACGACAGGGAAACUUGCAAGUACAAUUGGGAGGGAGGCGGGCGUCGACCAACCUUAUGAGUAUUUGGACUAUAACAAUUCCGAUGAACAGUCACUCGCUUUUGACUGUUAUACGACUCCAUAUAAGAUGAUCCUUGAAGUCUCAUUUGUAUUAUGGAUAGGCUAACAACAAAUUUACCUUUCGAAUAUGUAUAUAUAAUAUACGUAUGAAGUAGUAACUUUAUUUUUGAACGAGAGGUCACUUUUUUGAAUUCAAAUAAAGUAUAGAUGGGAAAUGUAUCCACUUUCGUAGCUAAGAUUUUAGUGUAUUUCUUUUAUUUGGAUUCGGCAAUCGUCGAAGUCGGAAUCAACUUGAGUAUACAUCUGGGUGGGUUGAGCUAUUCCUUCAUGAUCGUGGUAUUUCCUUGGAUCCGUUCUUCAGCAGAGAAUCCAUCUUGUCAAAAGGUAAUUAAAUAUUUUUUUUGGUGGGUGCAACGAAUUGCUGUAUAGUUCGUGUGUGAGAGUGUGAUCAAAAUUGACAACCAACUAAAUUGCACCGUCACAAUCUUACUCUCAAGGAACAAGGCGAUUAGGACUUGAAAUAGCUAAAGUAUCAUCCUGUUACUUUAUUUUUCAUAUUCCCCGUUUUCUGUUUAUUUUUUCCUCAUUUGGAAGCGAGAAAGACCAUUAUGAGUUAUACUGAAGAGGUAUUUUAAGAGACAAGCAGCUGCUCUUUUUCUCCGAAAAAAUAGCUCAACAAAUACUCAUUAUCCAUCAUUGGUCCAUGGUCAAAUUUGUCAAAUAUUACUUCUGCUUCUCGGCCAUCCUUACUACUUUUGAGUACAUAUGCAGACAUAUAUGCAUUUUUCUAUUAAUUUUCCUCAAUUUCUUUGUUAUUUAUGUUUUAUUUCAAUUUCAGAAGUUAUGAUUAGUACGACUUUAUAAUUUGGUGUUAUUAAACCUAGAAGUUAUUUGUGGUAGAUAUGUUUGGUUCAAGACUGCAAAGCUACUGGUUCCUUUCGAAUUGGGGUCCUAUGAUCAUGUCUUACUCCUCUUUCUCAUUCAUGGAGCUUGCUGCUUUAGUCUAGCAAAUUAUACUAAAAAGAAAAGAGAGGCCAUGGGACACAUUUGUUUUUAUCACAGCUAAGCCAAGUUACAAUAAAUUGAAUGCUUUUGCCAAUUGAGACCUAACUUAAUUUAACCUUGCAUGUCGCAAUAAUUGCUAUUACAUGUUUUAAUGUUUUAGCGUGUACAUUUGUAGAAUGCGAGCUAUCAUGCUGCACUUGUCCUUGCCAGUGAUGAGGAAUGAAAGCUCUGAAACAUCAUGUCUCGUCCUCAAAAAUUGUAGUACAGUGGUAAAUUGGAAUGUCAAACCAAGUUUUACAUGUGUUAAUGGUCCAGCUUCAAAGNNNNNNNNNNNNNNNNNNNNNNNNNNNN
rnacentral:lncRNA from 1 species